rnacentral:lncRNA from 1 species
AGAUUGAAUAAUGAUUUCCUGCCAGAGCUCAAGGCCUGAGUCCGUGAGAGAAAGAAAUGGGGACGUUACAAGCACAGGGUGUACAGAAGCAUUCCUGUUUCCAUGAGUGAAUCAACACAGCAAUGCCCUACGUGCCAACAGAGCAUGAGCUCAUGUAUUUACUCAACCUUGCUUUCUGUGUUAGAAAGAGCCCUGCAUUAGGAAAUCUGGACUCCCAGAGACAAAGGGUCACGCAUGCCGGCCUCCUGACCUCAGAGGCAUUGGGCAGAGACACAGGUAAUUGCUGAGGCAGACCCACGGGCACCUCAGCAAGACUCUGCCUCCAAGCGGAGCACAAGGUUGUUCUUUAAAGAACCUUGUGCUUCAUUCAAAAAUCGCCAUCAGAAACGAUCAGCCAACAGGGAUCUGCUGAGCACAGAUGCUGUGCAAGGCAACUAGCAGAGCUGCUGAGGGGAGGUCAGUGUAAGCCCCAGCAGGGACGGUGACUG